rnacentral:lncRNA from 1 species
CUGGGCUCUGCGAGUGGCGUGUUGCCAGUCUCCUGCCUCACAUUAACAGGAAUACUAUAUAUUACUAAAUUCAAAGUGUUUUUCAUUCAGGACUAGAAGAAUGUAAUGGAGCAUGCAUCUGGCAGCAGGACACCAUGGCUGUGGAGAGCUGGAGAGGAGAAUGGUGUCAUCAUCUGAGGGGAAACACAAAGCAGAAAGGAAUGAGGAGGGGAAAUUUCAGUGCUUAUUUUUAGACUCCGUGGCUCACACAGCACUGGAGCUCUGUGUCGUGCAGGAGUACACAAGUGUUGGAUCCAUGUGGAAAGAGCCAGACUAUGACAGUUGCCUGGUUCCCAGGAGAGGGAACACUUUGUCAGAGAAGUCGUCUCAUCAGAAGCCCUUGAAUGCUGUUCAGAUCUGA